rnacentral:rRNA from 1 species
GACACGACUCUCGGCAAUGGAUAUCUCGGCUCUCGCAUCGAUGAAGAGCGCAGCGAAAUGCGAUACUUGUGUGAAUUGC